AUGGCGCCCGCAGCCAUCCUCUCCGCCGCGCCCCUUCCCCUCGUUGACCUCCAGGAGGCCAACUCCGGCGGCCCCGUCGCCUCUGUGCGCGAUCCCCUCGCUGCCCUCCUCCUUGGUCUGGCCCGACGCCGCCCCGUCUCCGCUCGCCGCGCCCUGCUUCUCCUCCCGAUCGCCCCCGCUCCACCUCGCCCUGCCGUCCCCGUGCCAGGACCUCCUCGCCCUUCUCCUCGCCCUGUGCGCCCGACGCUGUUGCUCUGCUCCACUCCAGCAAGCGCGCCGCUGCUGCCCUCCUCUGUCCGUCUCCAUGCGCCUCACCUACUGCUUGCCUAUGUCGCGAGUGCCUCGUCGAGUUCGUGGUUUACCUGGGACCGACCAUUCCCUUUGCAGGCACGACCUACUGACCUCGUCUCCCUCCUGCCCUACUGCUGCCUCCAAGCACCAUCGAUGCAUCUACGUGGUUAG
rnacentral:rRNA from 1 species